rnacentral:rRNA from 1 species
AUGGACACACAGAUACAACAGAGGGGUAACUCGAGGGCGGUGCAAUGGUGGGAUGAGCAGCAGCUGCGUGCCCUUGUAUUGGGCAGCCUUGCCGUUCAGUACUUCCUGUGUUUCUCCGCUGCCAGGCGUAAAUCCCGUAUCCCACCCUGGUACAGAUUCUUCAUCUGGCUGUCUUAUCUUGGCAGCGACGCUCUUCCGAUAUACGCCCUUGCCACGCUCUUCAACCGUCAGAAGAGGCUGCAGUACCAUACCGGCAAUCUUCAGGUCCUAUGGGCUCCUGUCCUGCUGAUGCACCUCGGCGGGCAGCUCGGCAUAACCGCCUACAACAUAGAAGACAACGAGCUAUGGAAGCGGCACUUCCUUACGGCCUUAUCUCAGGUGACAGUGGCCGUCUACGUGUUCUGCAAGUCAUGGCCGUCAUCAGCCGAUAGGACAUUAUUGGCUUCAGCGUUUUCCCCUUUUGUCGCUGGGGUUCUCAAAUGCUUCCAUAAACCUUUGGCUCUCAUGCAUGCUAGCUUCGGCUGCCUUGACAGACUGAAGAUAGUCUGUCCAUAUAACGAUGAAGAACUUCACUCUGCACUAAAAGGCAUCCUCUCCAAUUUUUUUGAUAUUCUGUACACCAGAGAACCUAAAUCAACAACAGGAGGCGAAUUCGCCAACGACGUUUUUGCACGGAGGAUCUUAUACUACAUGGUACUGCAAAUUGUAGCCAUUGUUACCUUCCACAAGAGCCAUAUAGAAGCACAAAGUCAUACAGAUGUCGGUGUUACAUUUGUCUUGUUGUACGGGACUCUUCUUUUGGAGAUCGUUUCCUUGUUUGGACUGCUAACUUCAUUCAUGAAGUGGUAUGACAUGGUUGCUGAACAUAACCUUAUAGGAUUAUUCAUUCACAAGAGAAGGCAGAGCGAGUUGAUGAACGACUCAUCGAAAGACAUUACAUGGUUAGUUCGUCAGCACAUCCAAGAUGGGUGGGAGGAGUACAUAACAGAUGCUCAGAGUUACAUGGAGUUCAAUGAUGUCAGAGGGCAAUGGACAGUUGAGCGCAAGGGAUGCCACAAAAUGCUAGGAUGGAGCUUAGAGAGGCCGUUGGAUGAGAGUGUCCUUCUCUGGCAUUUGGCCACGGAUUUCUGCUUCUACUGUACACACACAUCUCCGGACCAUGCUGAGCGUACCAACCAAUGCAGGCAAAUAUCGAAUUAUAUGGUGCAUUUGUUAUCUGAAAGUCCUGAGAUGCUAUUCCCAGGCAGUAUAAAGCAUCUUUGCCGAGUCGCCUAUGCACAACUCUACGACAUCUUAAAGGGUCAUGUGAUGGAAAAUGAACUUGCUCAGAAAGUGGUUGAUAUCGUGGAGUCUCCACAGGUUUUACAAGGUUGUUUUGUUCGAGAUGCUAGGCUGAUUGCUAAAAGGUUGAUACGGCUCGGGGAUGAUAACAAGAUGUGGGAGGUGAUACAAGGUGUGUGGAUUGAGAUGCUCUGUUUUUCUGCUGACAGAUGCCGGGGAUACUUGCAUGCCAAAAGCAUUGGCACCGGCGGGGAGUACCUCUCCAACAUCUGGCUUUUGCUGCACUGCACUGGGAUGGAGACGUUCCAGCACAGGCUUCAGAGGACACAAAAGCUACGGUUGUCCAAGAAGAAGCCGCGGAGGCACCGUGGGAGCCGAGAAGAUGAUGCCGCUCCAUCCAGUUCUCAAGGCAUGAACCUUCCCACAAAGGAUGGAAAUGUUGCCGGUCCACCGGCUUCCCCAAGUGAAGGCACCUCUCCUGAUGAGCUCAAUGAGAUUGUUGUGUCAUUACGAUAA